CUAUGUAGGACCAGCGCCGUUCUAGUGUUCCGUCGCGUGGGAGCAGUCGCUGUCGAGGGGAGAGGGACAUUAGGACUCGGGGGGUGGUAGACCCACGCGGCAGGGGAAGGUCCGUGUCGGCGGCCGCUGGAGAGGAAGUGGUAGUGGCAGAGGGGCGGGGCUAGAGGCUGGAUGGGUGGUAGAGUUCGUCCAGGUCUAGGCGGUGUCGAGGGCGUCCGUGCGCGGCCGUCUGGUUAGUCUACGUGCUGCACCAGAGAAGGGGGAGAAGCGGAGACAAACAAGCCAAACUAAACUAAACAUUCCGACUACAACAAACAAGAAAAAAUAAGCUAAACAGAUGCACACGAUAUGAGAAGGUGAGAGCACCGGUGGUAAGACGAAGGAGGGGAGGGGACCAAGUCGUCGUCGUCGGCAUCACUGUUCGCUAAACCUCCCUUGUUCGACUCGUUAACGUCGGCAGGAGGAGCGGAUCCUCCUCCUCCUCCUCGAGGUAGUGUAAUCGUCGUCGAGUCCGAGACUUAAGGUCAAAAGUUAAUCCGUUCUGUACUUCGGCACCGGUAAGUUCCAGUAGGAACCGGGGCGGCUGUUCGGGUCCUAGCGGCAGCUGAUGUUCCACAUGGGCACGUUACGAACAAAGGAACUUAGUCUUCCAGCUACGUUCGUUUGACGUCACAA
rnacentral:rRNA from 1 species